rnacentral:ribozyme from 1 species
CCAGAGGAAUACUGGCUCCUCCGAUUCCCAUUCUCCCUCCACACCGGCUGGAUCAUGACCCUCUUCGUCAUG